rnacentral:misc_RNA from 1 species
CAAGAAGCCGAAAGGCUGCUUAAAACCAUCGCGAACUUAUCCAAGUUGCUUCGGCGGCGCGGCUCCCCUCACGGGGGACCGCAGCCCCCGCCUCUCAGGAGGUAAGGGGCAGCCGCCGGAGGUACGAAACUCUGUAUUAUAGUGGUAUCUCUGAGUAUAAAACAAAUAAGUUA